AUUUUUUUUUUCCUAUAAAUAGCUUUCCAAUCGUCCAUUUCCUUCACAUUGCUUUUCCAUAUUUAAUGAUGAAAAAUAUACUUCUCUUUUGGUUGCUCCUCAUAGCAACCAUUAAUUGUGUUGGCUUCUGCUAUGCAGCUUGCAUUCUGAGCAAGAAGGAAGCCCUUUCGAAGUUCAAGCAUCAUCUUUCCAAUCCUUCAAACCCGCUCUUAUAUUCGGGUGGAGACUGCUGCGGAAUGGAGUCAUCUGCGACUACUAAACCACCCUGUUUGAUAAUAAAUUUGACUUUCGAUAAAAAAGCUGUGCAAAAACUCGCACUUUGAAGAAUAUGUUGUACUAUACGGAUCCAAACGCUGAAUAAUUACUCUUUUAUGAAGUUGCGUCUGUCUCGUUUAUUAUGGAUCAAUGGUUCAUCAACUGGAGCUCUCUAGAGUUAUUGUUAGUGAAGGUUGUUCAGUUUAUCCAAGAAACAGAAAAUGCUAAUUUUUUUUUUUUUUAUGUUAGACUGAAACUAAUAACAAUUUAAAUUUCUUAAUCAAUAAACUCAUAAAAUCA
rnacentral:misc_RNA from 1 species